AUUGAACACUGGCGGCAGGCUUAACACAUGCAAGUCGAGCGGGGUGAUGGUGCUUGCACUAUCACUUAGCGGCGGACGGGUGAGUAAUGCUUAGGAAUCUGCCUAUUAGUGGGGGACAACAUCUCGAAAGGGAUGCUAAUACCGCAUACGUCCUACGGGAGAAAGCAGGGGAUCACUUGUGACCUUGCGCUAAUAGAUGAGCCUAAGUCGGAUUAGCUAGUUGGUGGGGUAAAGGCCUACCAAGGCGACGAUCUGUAGCGGGUCUGAGAGGAUGAUCCGCCACACUGGGAAUGAGACACGGCCCAGACUCCUACGGGGGGCAGCAGUGGGGAAUAUUGGACAAUGGGGGGAACCCUGAUCCAGCCAUGCCGCGUGUGUGAAGAAGGCCUUAUGGUUGUAAAGCACUUUAAGCGAGGAGGAGGCUCUUUUGGUUAAUACCCAAGAUGAGUGGACGUUACUCGCAGAAUAAGCACCGGCUAACUCUGUGCCAGCCGCCGCUGUAA
rnacentral:rRNA from 1 species